rnacentral:lncRNA from 1 species
AAUCCAGAAAAACAAAAAAAGAAAAAAUAAAUAAAUAAAUGAAUGAAUCUAUGGAUUGAUGCCCCCCCACCCAAAAAACAAAAAACAAAAAACAAAAAACAGAACAACCACCCUGCAGGCUGCAAACCUGUACGAGAAACAAAGUUCUCCUUUUCAGAUUUAUUAACCUCAUCAUUCUUCAGACAAUUAGCAAGUUUUGAGCCAACUUGAGACCACAUAAUGUAGUAGGAGGCAGUGUCUCUUGGGUCUGUAGAGCAAGCUACAUGUAUGCAAAGUUAGUAUAUUCCUAGGCCCUAAGUGCAAAAUUGAGUUUAGGGUAACUAAUGAGCAUUGCCAAUCUAGCACCAGUAAAUUAAAGCAUCUAGCUUUCUCUGUGGGACAGUUGGAGCUACAAAAUUUUGAAAAGUAAAAGCAACAAACAAUGCUCUCUCCAAAGCAUCAAGAGCCUAUAUACAUAAGAAUUAGUUUCUGUAUAAUUGAUAGUUCUGCAUCAGCCAAGCCUGCAAAGGAAUUGGUCAAACUUAUCUGAACUACACCCUAUGCCUUUGCUGAGUCCCAUGCAACCACAGGAUGAGGGCUGAGCGGCCUCAUCCUCACAUUCAGCAGAGUCUCUCACAGGCCUCUGCUUUGUUAAUGCCCUCCAAACCCCAUGCAUUUUCUAAGGCCCAGAAAGAUCUUCAACUUACUUAGUGGUCAUGUAUCUUCCCUAAGGCUGUGAGCCUAAUCCAUCCACUUAUGCCUUGUGUUACUGCUACGUUAGCUGUCACCUGCAGCUGAUGGCAGUUUUAAUACACAAAGAAGUGGCUGCUUUCCUCUUAAUGGAGAAGCAAAGUCUAUUUUGCCUGCUCUUGAAUCUUGACUGCCCUCUGACUGUUUCUUUGGAGUUCACAGGCCUCAGAGUGAAUAGGUCUACUUUUCUAUACUUCUACGUAUUUUUUUCUUACCUGAGAUAGUCAUAAAUCAAAGAACUG